rnacentral:sRNA from 1 species
AGCAAUUAGAAUACCUAACAUUGAUUUGAUAGGUAA